GUGCCUGCAGCCGCGGUAAUACGUAGGUGGCAAGCGUUAUCCGGAAUUAUUGGGCGUAAAGCGCGCGCAGGUGGUUUCUUAAGUCUGAUGUGAAAGCCCACGGCUCAACCGUGGAGGGUCAUUGGAAACUGGGAGACUUGAGUGCAGAAGUGGAAAGCGGAAUUCCAUGUGUAGCGGUGAAAUGCGUAGAGAUAGGGAGGAACACCAGUGGCGAAUGCGACUUUCUGGUCUGUAACUGACACUGCGGCGCGAAAGCGGGGGG
rnacentral:rRNA from 1 species